GUAAUACAUCUGACAAAGGCUUAAUAUCCAUAAUACAUAAAGAACUCUCACAACUCAACAACAAAAAAUUAACCCCAUCAAAAAGUGGGCAGGAGACAUGAACAGACAUUUCUCCAAAGAAGAUAUACAGAGGCCAAUAGGCACAUGAAAAGAUGUUCAUCAUCGCUGAUCAUCAGGGAAAUGCAAAUCAAAACUACACUAACAUAUCACCUUACACCCAUUAGAAUGACAAAAACAGCUAAAACAAAUAGUAACAAAUGUUGGAGAGGUUGUGGAGAAAAAGGAACCCUCAUACACUGCUGGUGGAAAUGAAAACUGGUGCAGCCACUAUGGAAAACAGUAUGGAGAUUCCUCAAACAGUUAAAAAUAGAACUACCAUAUGAUCCAGCUAUUCCACUACUGGGUAUCUAUCCAGAGAGCUUGAAGUCAGCAAUUCCAAAAGACCUAUGCACCCCAAUGUUUCUUGCAGCAUUAUUUACAAUUGCCAAGAUGUGGCAGCAACCUAAGUGCCCAUGAACAGAUGACUGGAUAAAGAAGAUAUGGUAUAUAUAUACACAACGGAAUACUACUCAGCCGUAAAAAAGAACAAAAUCGUCCCAUUUGCAACAACAUGCAUGGACCUUGAGGGAAUUAUGUUAAGUGAAAUAAGCCAGAUAGAAAAGGACAAUCUCUGUGUGACUCCACUCAUAUGAGGAAUUUAAACCUGUGGACAAAGAGAACAGAUUAGUGGCUACGAGGGGAAAGGGGGGUGGGGGUGGGCACAAAGGGUGAAGGGUUGCACCUACAACACGACUGACAGACAGUAAUAUACAACUGAAAUUUCACAAGAUUGUAAGUUAUCGUUAACUCAACAAAAAAUUUUUAAAAAAAGAGAAUGAAAUAUGCAGGAAUAAAUUUAAUCAAAGAGAUUCAAAACUCAAACAAUGAAAACUACAAAACAUUGCUUAAAGAAAUUACAGAAGACCUAAAUAAACAGAAUGGCAUCCCGUGUUCAUGGACUGAAGGAUUUAAUAUUGUUAAGAGAGCAAUAUUCCCCAAGUGACCUACAGAUUCAAUGUAAUCCCUAUCAAAAUUGCAACAGCCAUUACUGCAGAAGUAGAAAAGUUAAUCCAAAAAUUCAUAGGGAAAUGCAAGGGAUCCCACACAGCCAAACCAAUCCUGAAAAAGAACGACAGUUGGAACACUCUCACUUCCCAAUUUCAAAACCUGCUACAAAGCUGAAGUAAUUAAAACAGUGUGGUACUAGCAUAAGGAUAGACAGAGACCAAUGGAACAAAACAGAACAGCCCAGAAAUAAAACCAUACAUCUAAAGUUAACUGAUAUUGGACAAGGAUGCCAAGACCACUGAAUGGAGAAAGAAGAGUCUCAUCAACAAACGGUGCUAGGCAAAUUGUAUAUCCACGUGCAGAAGACUGAAGUUGGAUCCCUAUCUCACAUCACGUACAAAAACUAACUCAAAAUGGAUUGAGACCUAAAUAUAAGAGAGCUAAAAUUAUAAAAU
rnacentral:lncRNA from 1 species